rnacentral:rRNA from 1 species
GACGGAGGAUGCAAGCGUUAUCCGGAAUUAUUGGGCGUAAAGCGUCCGCAGGUGGCAGUUCAAGUCUGCUGUCAAAGACCGGGGCUUAACUUCGGAAAGGCAGUGGAAACUGAAGCGCUAGAGUGCGGUAGGGGUAGAGGGAAUUCCCGGUGUAGCGGUGAAAUGCGUAGAGAUCGGGAAGAACAUCGGUGGCGAAAGCGCUCUACUGGACCGCAACUGACACUCAGGGACGAAAGCUAGGGGAGCGAAUGGG